rnacentral:rRNA from 1 species
GAUGAACGCUGACGGCGUGCUUAACACAUGCAAGUCGAAGGGAGUGGCGAACGGGUGUGUAACACGUGAGUAACCUGACCCUUUCUUUGGGAUAAGCCUGGGAAACUGGGUCUACUACUGGAUGGAGUGGGAUGGGCUCGCGGCUUAUCAGCUUGGUGGUGGGGUGAUGGCUUACCAAGGCUUUGACGGGUAGCCGGCAUGAGAGGGGGGACGGUCACACAGGGACUGGGAUACGGCCCAGACUCGUACGGGAGGCAGCAGUGGGGGAUAUUGCAGAAUGGACGAAAGUCUGAUGCAGCGACAUCGUGUGGGGGGUGGGGGCCUUCAGGUUGUAACAUCCUUUCGCCCGCGGAAUGGUAGUGGGUAAAGAAGCGCCGGCUGACUACGUGCCAGCAGCCGCGGUAAUUC